rnacentral:lncRNA from 1 species
GAUUGAAAUACAGACCAUGGAUUUGGUAUCAUUCAUAGUACCAUGAGAGCAGAAUCUAUAAAUUGACAAUUUUUAUUCAUAAAGAAGAAUCUUAUCUAUUAAAAAUCUUCUAACCCAAAAAUCCCAAUCAGAAUCUAAUAAACACCCUCCAAUCUCCUUGAGGUGCUUUUCUUCCUCACAUAUCUACCAAAAAAAGAUGAAAUAAAAAGAAUAACAAGCAAAAAUAAACACCUUACCUUCUAAUCAACCAAUGUAGACGAGCUGAGGGAAAGGGAGAGCCGACUGCCCACACACAAGAGAGGGAAAGAGAGAGAGGGAGAGGAAGAGGGAGAGCUAGUCGGCUGCAUGCAUGAGAGGGCGAGGGAGAGAGAGAGAGAGAAAGGGAGAGGGAGAGCAGCUCAUCCGUGAGGGAUGCAUGAGAGGGAGAAGGAGAGGGAGUCGGACGCACAAGAGGGAGAGG